UUAUUUAGAAUAGUGCUCGAGACAGCCUUGUGAGAUGUGUGGUCUUUGCAAAUUGCAGUAUGAUUCUAACUUCAAGUGACACUUGGCAAACAAAGCUGCCAAACUAUCUGUGCAGACUGAAAAUGGCAACAAUCAUCCUCAACUCUUGUUAAAGACAUCAUCAGGGCAAGUGAGAGAAUCCAGAAGGUGAAAAUCUGAAUUGAAUCUAGCCUGUGUGAACAGAUCUUCUGAAGGUGUUAUUUGCAGCACAGGUGAGGCAGUUACACAGACACAUGCACAGAUCAUUUUGGAAAGUGGGAUUUAAUUGAAUGUCUGUUCCAAGAGAAAGGGCUAGGCCUGCGUCCAGACUUAUUUGGAAACAUGUAGGCUCUGGAGCCUGUCCUGGAGGGGGGAAUCUGGGGCUGAGGAGGAAGAGAGCAGCACAUCUGUGUGCUCAACCUCCGUGAAGGACUUGAUCCCAAGUUCUGCAGGCUUCCUCCCUGGGAAGGGGCCUGCUGUGGCUUUGACCUGGUGCUGAGUAAAUGUGAGAGCCUCACUUUACUGCGUGUGUUUUGCACAUCUGCAUCCUUGGAGCCUUUGGAAGGGCUCUGAAGGAUUUCGCGUUGCUCACUGCUUGCUCUGGACAAUUCCUUCAACACUGCCAGCAGCCUCCCUUUCAAGGGCAAAACAUUUACCCGACAUGCAGUUCUCCUUUGACUUCAGUCAGAAUGUGGAUGAUUACUUAUGUAAAUACUGUUGCAGAAAUAGGGCAUGCUUGUUCUUAGAGUUUUUUUCUGCAGUCUGAAAGGGGAGAAGAAUUAGGGAGUCCUGCAGGAGAGGCUUUUUUCUCUGACAAAGACUUAAAGUAUAUCAUAACUGUUUACCUAAAUCCCUAGGUGUUUCCAGGUACGCCCCUCAGUGAUUAACUUGGUGUGCACUUUGUGGUCAUGGUCCAAAUUAGUAGGAGAUUUAGCUUCAGGAGUAUCUUCAUAGUGUGUUUUAUAAAUUAAGUCAUUAGUAUUAAUUGUUGAUAAGAGUCAUUACCCAUUCUAUGUGCCAAUUAAAACAUGACUUUUUUAUUGUAUUAAAUGCAAGUAGUAAUUAAUACUUCAGCUGAUGCCGAAGUUAUCUGCACUUGUGUAUGCUGUUAAAAAUGCUUGGACUGACAUUUUUGUAUAUAUGUAUAUAAUAAAAACUUU